AUUCCGCCACAAGCGAACGAGCCUGGGCUGGCCUUGUGGAAGCCUAGCCGAGGCCUCAGAAUAUGGAUGAGAUCAUCUGAGACCAUCCACCCCAGGAAGCCAGCAAAGUGGCUAGAACCCGCCAUACCACCGCAGAAUCACGAUUGCUGUUCUGAGUCACUACAUUUCAGGUGACUUGUUGAGCAGCAAACGAGCUGACGAACCUAAAGUCAGAAGAUGCUAGCGGAAGAAACAGGACCCAGAACUCCAUUGGAAAAUGGGGUAUACAGACUUCGAGGAUGCCAGACAAAAAGAUCAUUUGAAAUAUUGUUGUCACUAAGCCUUCUUUGAUCAAGACACCAUGAGCUCAUGACAAACGCCUCAAUUUCCUUCUUCUGUAAAUAAAUUAAUACCUGGUGAGAUGUAAAAGCCCACUUGAACGGAAAACAACAUGUUUGAUGAAAUUCUGAGAGAAGAUACAACCCAAGAUAAAAAGAGAGGGGAGAGUGGAGUAAAGAACUGCCUAACCUAAUUUUAUCUUGUAGUGUCCUUGACGAAUGUGACCAGUAGCGUUCUAGUGGAUUUACCCCUUAUGUAUAUGGAAGUAUAGAGCUCAGUGCAAUGAGAGUCCCCAUGGAGAUACACGGGUUCAAGAUCUGUCCUAGCAAUAGCAGGCGAUGACAGAGGGCUCUGUUUCAAUAUGUUUCGUACAGGAAAUCACAGCUUUGGCGUGCUGAAGCUGGUAAGUUUUCAUCAGGUAUACACUAGUGGUGUCACAGACUUGUAGAAUCUGUCACUCUGAAAGUAUUCUGAGAGCCAGAGAAUGACUCUUAUUCCAGAUGACAUCGGCAUCCC
rnacentral:lncRNA from 1 species